rnacentral:rRNA from 1 species
UACAGAGGUGCUCGAGCGUUAGGCGGAAUCACUGGGCGUAAAGCGUGCGUAGGCGGCGUGUUAAGUGAGAUGUUAAAUCGUGUGGCUCAACCAUAUCGAUGCAUCUCAUACUGGCAUGCUAGAGGAAGGCAGAGGCAAGUGGAAUUGGUAGUGUAGCAGUGAAAUGCGUAGAUAUUACCAGGAACACCAAUGGCGAAGGCAGCUUGCUGGGCCUUUUCUGACGCUGAGGUACGAAAGCGUGGGGAGCGAACAGG